UUCAUACGGCCUGCAGACAGGACUGGGUAAUCCAGUGUGAGGCACUGGGGUUUUGUUUGUGGCAAUGGACAGUACGGUGAAGGAGCGCACAGCUGUAAUAGCACUGUUUGCCUGGGAGCUGAAGCAGGAAGGUUCCAGGACAGUCUAAGCUCCACCCUUCCUCAAAGGUAACCCUGUUUCUGAGCUGGGCACUCGAGUCUACAGCAUGAAACACAUCUAUCUGGGACUAAAAAGUCUCUGAGACAUGGGAGGAAAACACAAUAAAUACUACUUUUAUUUUUCAUUAUUCUUAAAGAUUUUAGUCCUUCAAAUACUUGAUAUACAGGGUGCUAUGAGGCUAUAAGGUGUGUUGUUUCUACAAAAGUUAUUAAAAACAAUAAACAGAAAAUAUUGAGUUAUAUUAGUACUUAACCUAAAUCUACCAAUGAAAGAUGCAUAGCAGAGCUUCCUAGGAUGCAUUCCUCCUGCAGACAUGUGCCUUUCAAAAUGCCAGAAUGCCUAAGUGUGGUGGUUUGGAUAAGAAUGGCACCAAGAGACUCACGUGUGAACACUUCGUCAUCAGGGUGUGGCAGUACUUGAGAAGGAUUAGGAAGUGUGAUCUUGUUAGGUCUUGUUGGAGGAAGUGUGCCAUGGGGGAGCCACUGAGAUUCUGAGAUUUCGAAAGCCCAUGCUAAACCCAGUUCUCCUGUCCCCUCACCCCUCAUCUCUCUCUGAUUUUUCCUUUGCCUACAGAUCAGGAUGUGACCCUCAGCUACUGCUCCACUGUCAUGCUCCCUGCCAUGAUGAGAAUGGAUUAAGUCUGAGAGGGUAAGCCAACCCCAGCUAAACGCUGUUCUUUAUAAAAGUUUCCUAGGUCACACUGUCUCUUCACAGCAACACAUCAGUGACAAAGACGCUGACCUCAUGCUGCAAAUGCCCAUGGGCCAAAAAAUGAGGAAUGAAAUUGGGGAAUUUUAUUUCAAGAAACUUUUAAUUUGUGUAUCACCCUGAUUCAUAACCUAACAGUCAAAUGAACCCAGUAUCAUGCACAUUAAAAUCAGACAGCACAAGAAUAAAAUUCAACAUAAGAUGCUAAUUUUGAUUCAGUAAGAGCCUGAGUCAGAGGAGAAAGUAGAGAAAAAGGAAGGAAUUAGGACACAAACACAAGCCCCAACCCCACCCCAGAGCUUUUCAGUUAGAAAUGUCAGUCAGCUGACUGAGAGCUUGCCUAGCAUGCACAGAGCCCAGGGUUGGAUCCCCAAGCACCACAUAAAACCAGGGUUGGGGGCCUGUCAAACACAGAAGUGGAUGCUCACAGUCAGCUAUUGGAUGGAUCACAGGGCCCCCAAUGGAGGAGCUAGAGAAAGUACCCAAGGAGCUAAAGGGGUCUGCAACCCUAUAGGUGGUACAACAAUAUGAACUAACCAGUACCCCCAGAGCUCGUGUCUCUAGCUGCAUAUGUAUCAGAAGAUGGCCUAGUCGGCCAUCAUUGGGAAGAGAGGCCCCUUGGUCUUGCAAACUUUAUAUGCCUCAGUACAGGGGAACGCCAGGGCCAAGAAGUGUGUGUGUGAGGGGGGGGGGGGGCUGGGGGACUUUUGGUAUAGCAUUUGAAAUGUAAAUGAAGAAAAUACCUAAUUAAAAAAUAAAAACAAAACAAAAAAACAAACCAGGGUUGGUGGUACACAGCUGUAACCCUAACACUCUUGGGAAGGUGAAAGUGGGAUCAGAAGAAGUCAUAGGAAGUCUGAGGCCAGCCAGGGAUACACAAGACUCUGUAGGUAGAUGAUAGAUAGAUAGAUAUAUAGAUAGAUAGACAGACAGAUAGAUAGACAGACAGAUGUUCAGACAGAUUAGAUGAGAGAGAGAGCACAAGCUUGCUCAAAACUAGUCUGCACAUUUAUCCAAUUUCAUGAAUCUCUAAACUCAACACAGAUCUAACUGAAAUCUCAACAGGUCUUUCAGAAAACCUGACAAACUUUGAAAUUUGUAUGGAAGAUUCCACUAAGACUGGCCAAAACAUAAAAUAAAAACUAAACGACAGAUCUGCCUUUCCAGACACCAUGACAAUAUAAAACAGUAAAAUAGAGACCAUGAUAUCAGCAUAAUGCUGAGCUCAGGAAAGGCAGGAUGAAGAGACUCGGAGUGUGGCUCACACAUGAUGUGUGGACACUCGUUUUAGAGGCUAAGCUAGAAAGACACUUAUGAAGCAUGUUACAACACACUCUCAUAGAUCUCUUACCAGGGACAAAGGACUACUGGCGCAAUGAGUGGUGGGGCAAAAAGUCACCACAUAGAAAAAUAAGCACAAUUAGAUUCUUUCUUCCAAAGCCAACUCCAAGCCCAGCAUGGUGGUGCACACCUGAAACCUCUACACUCAAAAGGCUGCGACAAGAGAAACGUGUGAGUUCAAGUUCAGCCUGGGCCACACAAGCAAGACUUUUGUCUCAAAAAACAAACAAAACAACAUACAUUAAUUCACUACAGGCUUUUAUUAUAUAUGGCAACUGAUUCUACUUUUACAAGAAAGUCUAGGUAAGUGUCUUUAUAACUCAAAACGUUUUUAAACAAGACACUCAACAUAAAAACCUGUGCCUAUAACCCUACAGUUGGGGAGGCAAAGACAGGAGGCUGUUUGGUGCUCGUUAGCCAGCUAAUAUUGCUGAGUCAGAGAGCUAAGGUCAGUGAGGAAGAGGACGGCACUGUCGUUAGUCUCUGGCUUUCCCGAGCGUGUACACAGACCUGCAUGGAUCCUAUGUGUACACACAACCAAUAGUUUGCAUUCAGAUAUUACGAAUAUGCCCAUGACUAUGGAAUACAGAAAAUCACACUGAUCAAUAAACAUCAAGAGAUGCUAAGCUCUGUGCUGCAUAUGCAGCUCAGGGGGCAGAGCACUUGCCUAGCAUGCACAAAUGAAACCCGAGACUAAGUGUGCCUGUGACCCAUAAUCCAAGCAUUUGGAAGGUGGAGGAAAGAUCAAAAACACAAGGUGGAUGAUGGGCCUGGUGAUGCACGCCUUUAAUCCCAGCACUCCAGAGGCAGUAGGAUCUCUGUGAGUUCCAGAGAUCUGUAGAGAGACCUUGUCUCAAAAAACAAACAGCACAAGGUCAUCUGUGGCUAUACAGUAACUUUGAGGCUAGCCUGGGAUACAUGAGACCCCACUUCAAAACAUAAAAGAGGUUAGCAAGAUAGCUCAAUAGGUAAAGACACUUGCUGCCAAACCUAAGGAUUUGUGUUCAGUUCCCUGGGAUCCACAUGCUAGAGGAAGAGAACUGAUUCCCAUAGUUGUCCUCUGACCUCCACCUGCAUGUUAUGACAUGUCUCCCUAAAUAAUGUAAUAAUAUUUUUAAAAAUUAAGAAAGAAAAAAAGGGAGAGUAAAAGGUGUGGGGGGGGGCUGUGAUGGUUUUUAUAUGCUCAGCCCAGGAAGUGGCACUAUUAGGUGUGGCCCUGUUGGAGUAGGUGUGUCACUGUGGGUGUGGGUUUAAAGACCCUUACCCUAGCUGCCUGGAAGCCAGUAUUCUGCUAGCAGCCUUCAGAUGAAGAUGUAGAACUCUCAGCUCUGCCUGCACCAUGCCUGCCUGGAUGCUGCCCUGUUCCCACUUUGAUAGUAAUGGACUGAACCUCUGAACCUGUAAGCCAGCCCCAAUUAAAUGUUGUCCUUUAUAAAACUUGCCUUGCCUUGGUCAUGGUGUCUGUUCACAGCAGUAAUUAACAUGAGGAACAAAAAGGAGAAAACAGAAAAAUCAGAGAAUUUCACUUUACCCAUUAGACUGUUAAAAACUAAGGUAAAAACAUCAUCAAUGAAGAUUCUGUGACAGCCAAAGCAGCCAACACUGCUACAGGAACCAUGGGUAUUAGAGUCAGUUGUCACUAUCCUAUGAGACUGACUUUUCAUGACCCACAGCUCAAAUUCCCAAUUUACAAGGGAGCAGACAGGACAAGAGCCAGGUCCAACCAAGGGGCAAGUGUAAAAAACCCUUUCCCCAAACAAGACAUCCAUCCCCGCUGGUCAUUCUGGCACUGGUGAGCAUUGCUGCGAUGAUGAUUCUGGCAUAACAUGUGAAUUCUACAGAUUCAUAAAUCAAAAAGGAUUUGAUUUUGCUUUAAAUACUAAUGUGCUCACUUGUUUUUCAGCUGUAACCUCGAGGUGCCUAUAAAUUACAACUGCAAGGUAGCUAAGCUGUAAGAAUACAGGAGAGAGGAUGAGGGAGGGAGGGAGGGAGGGAGGGAGGGAGGGAGGGAGGGAAGGAAGAGGGGGUGGAGAAAGGGAGGAAGGGAGAGGGGGAGAAGGAGAGGUCCCAAUCUAAAUUGAAUCAAGAUCAAUUUAAGAAAAGUACUAAAAGAUGAGAUAUAACUUUUAUUUAUAAGCAAAUAAAUAUCAGAAAACAGAAUCCAGGGCGUGUGUAAGUUCCAGGUGAGCCACACAGCAUCACAGGCUAGCACUGGCCACACUCAGGGGUUAUCUUUUAAAUAAAUAAAAGGCUUUUCACUGUCUCUGACUCACUUCCCCAUCUUGAACCCAAUCUGUACCUAGCUCUCCAAUAGUUCCUAACUGCUUAGGAAUACACAUAGCAGGGCUGGAUCAUCAAAGCCUUCCUAAUUUCUUAAGGAACCGCUAAAUGAAGACAAUGUCAUACUCUGUACUUACAAUUAUAGUACUUGUACAAGAAAUACAGCAUACAGGAAACACAUGCAUUAGUCAGCUCUUUGUUUCUAUCACAAAAUACCAGGUAAGAGGCUUAAAAAGAGGAAAUGUCUAUUCUGGCUCAGCCUUGGAGGCUUUGGGGCAUGGUUGGCUGCCCCAUCAAAUCUAGAAAAUAUGUCACACGGAAGCACAAAGCACAGAAGCUGUGCAGUCAAGAGGAACACACUCCAACGGCAUCGUGCAGACUACUGAAUCCGUCCCCAGUGAAGUGUGACCUCUUACGGGUUGGUUCCACCACUGCCCAGAACUCAACACCAUCCCUAACUGCAGAUCCAGCCUCGCUGACGUCAUAGCACAAACACCCAGGAGGCAGGCAGCUUCUGCCUAACAGUCUUGGGAAUUUGGGGGCUCAAUCACACAACUACAUUUCAAUCAGUCCUCUUCAAUGACCUUCCAAAAGAUAGGGCCAUUUUUUCCCCAUCUUAAUUGAUAAGGAUGACCUUUUUUCUUAAAUUACAUUCAUGUACUUAAGUGUCUUGAGACAAUUAUAAUUAUGAUUUUGUGUGAUAUUAAAUGAAUUAAGAACAGGCACUUCUGUUUUCAGAAUGAUCGGCAUAAUGCCUGAUUACCUCAGCAGCCACUCCUGCGUCACAGUGACCCCUGAAAUCACACAGGGCCAGGACUGCUGGCUGCUGCUCUCCCACUUCACUGAAGACAGAUUUUCUACAAGACCCAAGCAGUCCAUCAAAUCCAUCUCCUCAACCACUUCCCUUGAAGAUUCGCCAACUCUCGUGCUCUGAUGCCUGGUGGCAGGGCUAGCAGUCAUUUGGAGCCUCCCUCCCGCUUUGCUGUACAUCAGAGCAACACAUGGCAGAAAAAAAGCCAACACACCACAAACUCAGCUCCUGAAGCUGAGGAGAUGCUGCCCUGUGUGAGCGCGCCCGUCACUAGUCUCUUGGCUCAAACAUGCAACAGUUGUUUAGGUUGCUUGUUUGUUUUCACAAAGAAUAAAACCAAAGUGUUCUGUGACCUGGAAAAGCUAAAGGCUCUGGUCCUCUCUCUGGCCUCCCUCCACCAGGGUCCCCCUGCUCCCAGCACGGGGCUUCACGGCUAUCCUCGCACGCUGCACUUGUUUUGCUGGCUCUAGGCUCGUUGACAAAAAUCCGCCUCCCUCGUGAGGUUGAGUGCUACUUACUGCUCUCCCCUAGUCCUUGCUUCUCGCCUGCUUCGAGGCCUGGACUCACGCGUACAUCCCUGUCGUCUUUACCAGCACUCCAUUCCCAUAAAUGUCUGUUCAGUACUUGGCUCCCUCAGAAAUUCCAAGGUCCUGUUGAAGACUCAAACACAUGGAAGCUCGACAAACCUCAUCUCUGCCAUGUGGGGGUCUGAAAGGAAGCCAUGCCAUUUAAACAGAAGUGGUAUUCCCUAGAAUCAGUGUUCACUCUGUAAUGACACAAAGCUGCCAGUAUCCUACAGCACAGCAACUAAAAGCAGUUGAUCAAACUUCUUAAAUUCAGUUACAGGGCAUAUGAACUCAAUUAAAAAACCUACAGGCUUAGUGCUACUUAACAGCAGCAAUGACCUAUGUACUAUGGAAACACCAGGGCUCUAUUAUUCUCUGUAUUGCAUGGUGUUACCAUGAAGGAAGACUAGAAAGAGAUCCUUAGCCACUGUGCAGAAAACUGCUUCCUAUUUUCUUUCCUGCAUGAGGUUCUUCCCUUUGCACCCAUGGAAUGUGUAAAAGCAGCGUCAUAAAGGAGUGGGAGAGCUGGCAUGUGGCACUUGUUUAGCAAAUACUUCAGAAAACUCUAAGAGGUGACCAAGCAACUUUCAGAGAAGGCUAUCUGACACUGGUUGCAAGAACAGAAUAGGGGUGCUCUUUAAAUCUGUGCUUUGGGCCAACAGCAUAGCCAACUCUUCAGUUAUGGUGACCACAUAAUCUGAUGUAUACUUUUUCUCAGAAAGUAAAGAGGGCUAAAGAUAACUGUAGAAUAGAUUUAUAUAAAUACAUGCAUCUUUAUAAUAUGACUGACAUGCCAAAUGUUACACACUAGAAAGAAGACUCCGUUUCUACUGUCCAUCUCUCAGAACUCCAAGGCCUAGUUUCCAGAUGCUAAAGUCCUCACUAGGUGUGAGAGUGCUCAAGCAGCAUGCUCACUUCACUAUACACACUCUUCUCAAGCAUGGCACCACAGGGCUGGAGAGAUGGCUCAAUGGUUAAAGUGCUUGCCAUGCAAGAGUGAGGACUAGAGUUUGGAUCCCUAGAACCCCUGUGCUGGGUAAGCACGCAGCCCACCUGUAAGUCUAGCCACCAAAAGCAGAGACAAGACAACUCUCUAGAGUAAGCUGGUUGGAGAUACUAGCUGUGUCAGUAAGCUCUAGGUUUGACUGAUAGACCCUGCCUCAGUGAUUACAGUAGAAGAACAAUGGAAGAUAAUUCUUGAUAUCAACUCUGGGACUCCACUACAUGUGCACACACACGACCCAUACCAUACAUGGAAAAUAAGGACACACACAUGCACAAAACAGAAAAGGAAUAAAAUGUAUGGCAAUGUGAUGUUGUCUUUGGGAUGACCUGUAAGGAGCUUGGGCACUGCCACAAAUAACACACAAGAAAAGCCUGACCAAAUUGAAAUCUACUACUCUUCUUAGGUUCACUGGCAACAGGGGACUCAGAGAAAACUGCUCUUAAGAGACAAGCAUCGGAGCAUCACAACCACCAGAGCAAAAACCUGCAAAGCAUCUAGCACUGGGACAGAAAAGCCAUGUGUCAUGGGAGAACCCUGAGCUAAACCAGGAAGUGUUUCAUUCCAUGGCUCUCUAGAUCCCAUUCAAAUCACAUUAAGCCAGGGUUGUCAGCUAUCAACACUAUCAAUGAGGUGGGUCUUAGAUAAUGAAAGUAAGAGUCCCUAAAGAGAUUACUGCUAGGCUGGGCACGCUGACACACCCCUUUAAUCCCAGCACUUGGGAGGCAAACACAGGCAGAUCUGUGACGUUGAAGUUAGCCUGCCUGGUCUAUGUAGCAAGUUCCAGGCCAGCCAGAGCUUUUCUCUGCAGUGGGCAGCAGUUAAUGCUGAGACGUAUACUGGUCAGUGUGACCACUGAGUGCUCAGAACUAACGGGGACAUCUGUAUCAAGCCCUCUGUGCGUACUCCCAAGGCUCAGAGCACAUCCUAGAAAGAAGAAACAGAAAGAAUGUAAGAGCUGGAAGAGGAGGUGAUGCCGCCAUCUGUAUACGAAAUACCAUCGCACCAUCAGUUCACUGGGGUUGCCUGCCUGAGAGAAGGCAGACAGCACCAGUCAGCACUCCAGGAAGCAGCACUAAGUGGGUUCCCCUACAACAGAGAGGGGAAAGGGAGACAUGGAGUAGAUGAAGGAAGUGAGAGGUAGAUUAAAAAUACACUGUCUACAUGUACAGAUAGAAGACUUCCUGUUUAAAAUCGAUUCCAAAAAGAAAAAUGAUAAAAUGUCAGAAAAUAAAUCAGUCUGUAGGUAAGAGCUGACUGGCUCAGUGAGUAGAGGGAUCCGUCACCAAGGGUGAUGACAUGAGUUUGGUCCCUGGAACCCACAAGAUGGAAAGAGAGAACUUCCCUAAGUCGUCCUCUGACCUCCACUUGAGCACUGUGGUAUGCCACCCCUCUCACCACACAAAAUAAAUAAAACUUAAAAAAAAAAAAAAAAAAAAAGUCAGGCGGUGGUGGCACACGCCUUUAACCCCAGCACUCAGGAGGCAGAGGCAGGUGGAUUUCUGAGUUCAAGGCCAGCCUGGUCUACAGAGUGAGUUCCAGGACAGCCAGGGCUACACAGAGAAACCCUGUCUCAAAAAACCAAAAAAAGAAAAAAGAAGAAGAAAAGGAAAAAAAAAGUAAUAUUCAGAGAUAUUUAGGACACAAAAAUGUCUCAACUAAAUCAUUAUUAAGCUAAUUUCAGUGUUUCAGAAGAUGUACAUGUAUUA